ensembl:lncRNA
AUUCCUUCCUCCCACACCUUCAGGGGGAAAAGGACAUGACUGAUUGUUAUCUGUGCGUCUGAUCUCAACAGCCGGUUCUUGCUUUUGCUGUUGGACGUUUGUGCCGAGGUUGAACUCACUGCCAUGGCGUCUCCAUUUUGGCUUUCGUGGAUUUCCAAUCUGCUGUUUUGGGGCAGUAUUUGUUUUCCUUCUCAAAAAGGUGAAGUGGCUGAUGGUCUGUCUGCUUGUAAAUAUGGAUCUCUUGCUACCUUGAACUAGGAGGAAGAUUCUGCAGUUCUACGCAUCCAACUAAUAAAACCAUAAAAUAUUAGGGUUUUUUUACCUCUUGAUUGUUUGACAUAGGACCUGUUCAACGGUGUUUCUUGGUUGAUUUAAUGACAAUAUUUAAGCACUGAAAAGCUAUUGACACAUGCAUCUCGAUUGAUUAUUUUCAAUUCGUCCGGUAAACAAAAACCUUUUAAAACCUCAAUCUUGAGUAAAGCUUAUAAUGCUUGCAGCGCAUGAAAAACACGAGUUUGUUAAAUUGUUCUUAUAACAGCAGUAGGCAUUCUCGAACAGACCACAGGACCUCUAGAAAGGAAUACAGAACAAGUCUGUUUUCAUUGAUUUUUGAAGCUACAGUACGUAGGCGCUGAACAUACUGUCCCGCGGUGUCACCUGGGUCGUAAAAACUCUAGUGUCAUUGCAGAGGUUGUUGAAAGGCACUGUUCUGCAUCAGCAAAAAAUGUACCUUUUAGAGUUUAAACGAGAUAUGUUUUAAUGACCGCCACGCAUUUAACAUUGAUCAGAAAAAAUGCUCCACAAAUAUAAGACUGUAAACUUGUCAUUCUGCAUGAAUAUCAAACAAUGAAUUAACACUACCUGUACAGUAUGUCAAAGUAUUGGACAUACGGAAUACUGCCCACGAUCUCUACAGGCUCUCAUUAUAAAUGUAACGUUGAAUAAAUCUUGCGUAGAGUACUUUAUAUCGAAUAUGCACAUAAAAGGACCUGAUCUCUUAAUGGGAGGAAAUGGACGAGAUAUAAAAUACUUUCACUCUAAGCAGAGACUAAAAAAACUCCCAACUGUCUGCCUCAAGGAAAAGCACAAAGGAAAUGUAAGUUAUCUGGGCCACAAGUCUCAGAAACUCCGCUCUUUGGGACAUGACAGACAGGACUGUCAAGUCCUAUAUCGAAUUAUAUGGCCCAAGUUUUCCAUAUUCACGAAAAAUGAAUAUUGGGCGAAAUAGUGACGUUUUCUGCAACGA